CCGUGUAUCUGUCAAUGAUUUCUUACUGAGUAAAGUGUUAAAAUAGAAAGUUAAUGAAAGGUGAUAGCAAUAAAAAUUUUUUUAAGUAACUGAUUCAAAUUUUAUUAUGGUGAAUAUAUGUAUGUGCCUCAAACGAACUGCCAAGAAGACCAAAGCCUGGGCAAGCGGCGCAGAGAAAACCGAAACCCAAACCAGAACCUCAAGCCAAAACCCCAAAAGGCGCUGCUCUGCGACUUUACGACCUUGUACGCUACCAUUUUAUGCCCUACACGAGGGAAUGCUGAUUCAGAAGGGAAGGGGCAUAUUAGCUGCGGCAAGGCGUGCGUCACAAUCAAAGCUUAAAUGCCAGCUCGGUUGAGGUGAUAAUAAAGAUAAAGCUUUAACAAAUGGCCAAAAAGCGAACUUUAAAGACUUCAAAGUGCUUGGAAAAAUUGCGUCGAAUAAAUCAAGUAAAAUAAAUAUAAAUGCACAUUGCCUUUAAAUAGUUGACUCGACUGGCGCAAAGUUCGAACUCGAGCCAAAGCAAAUAUGGCAACAAAGAGAUAUUAGAUAGAGUAAGAGAGCAAGAAAAGGGAGCGAGA